CUCAACCACAACACACAAAACAAAUGGGGGAGAGAGCUCUAAAAAACCAAUCCCACAAUCACUCAUACCCGAAGAAUGGAAGGUCAGAUCCCUAGAGGUAAAAUAUAUAUCUUUGGUGGCGGGAUGAUGUUGCUCCGGUGAAGAAAAUGGCGAUCGAAUCUCACCUCAAGUAAGGAGGCGUCGAAAAGAAGCCUUUUCGGAUACAGACUCAGAUCAAGCAUUGAACUGUGGAUUUGCAAAAUUGCUAACACUAGAAAAGGUUUUUCCACUUUAUGACGUCAAAAGGUAUGUGUGUGUAUACCUGUUUCAUUAAAGCUGGUAGAGAUUUUGAAGCUAGGAUACAAUUGUGAAGUCAAAAUUAACUUGAAGCUGCAGUAGUCUUCCUAUAAUUUACAUAAGCUACCGAAGAUUUUGCUAAACAUGUUUAUAGGGCGUUGUUUGGUUUUUCAUUCUAUAUGUUUUUAUACUUGAUUGAAAUGAGUAAAAUACUAAAAUAUAGUAUACAUUCAGACCCAUUUAUUUCUUCAAAAUGAAUGCCCUAAAUAGGGAAAAUAAACUGCCAAUGGAUUAAAACUGAAGACUAUACAAAUUUGAACUUGAACAAACUUCUUGGAAUAAAAGGAUUACCGUCUUGAAAAAGUCCGGCUUGUCAGUUUUCUUAGUGAAACUAGGAAUGAGUCCCCAUUUCAUGCAGUGAAGAACAACACCUGCUCCGUGGGUACUAGAUCCAUCGUCUCGUCGAACAACGGGCAAAUUCAUUCCCGGACCAUCAUUAUACGAAGGACGGUAACUAUAUGAUUUUUCAACUCAAAUUCCAAAACCAGCCAAAAAAAAAAGACAGACGCACGAGAGGUUAACUUUACCGGUCCAUGUUAACAUGGCGAUUGGCGGACCGGGUCGUUGUUGCGAUGGCAAUCUCUGGGGAUGUCGUCGGCGCGAAUCGUACAACGAGCUCUUCCGCACAUAUCCUUUUGCUUUCAAUCGAGUUUUGUGAAAUUUUUUGUGAACUAAUGAAUUACUGCUAAUAAUUUUUUUUUUUCAGUUUUAUGGGCGACAAGCAAGAGCGGGAGUGGGAUUUUUUUUUUCGUGCUUCGCGUUAGAGAAAUCUUGUCCUAACCGUUGGAUUUCAGAAUGCCCGGAGAGUGGUGCUUCUAGUCUAUUCAAUUUUUCAAUUUUUUUAGCAUGAACCAAUUGGCCUCUCUAUGAGAAAUUGUUGUUAUUUAUGAGGAUAUGAGUUCAAGCACUAUAGAUUUAAGGAAUGUGAACGUUCAAUAACUAAAUGUUGAGAGUUAUCUUUAAACA